rnacentral:rRNA from 1 species
UUCGAUUAAGCCAUGCGAGUCGCGAGUCUUAGGGACUCGGCGUACCGCUCAGUAACACGUGGGUAACCUGCCCUAUGCUGGGGAAUAACCUCGGGAAACUGAGAAUAAUGCCCCAUAGUUCACCACGCCUGGAACGGUGGGUGGAUGAAAGCUCCGGCGGCAUAGGAUGGGCCUGCGGCGUAUCAGGUCGUAGGGGGUGUAAUGUACCCUCUAGCCAUCGACGCGUACGGGUGUUGGGAGACAUUGCCCGGAGAUGGAUUCUGAGACACGAAUCCAGACCCUACGGGGUGCAGCAGGCGCGAAAACUUGGCAAUGCGAGAAAUCGUGACCAGGGAACUCCAAGUGCAUCGGGUAAGACCGAUGCUUUUCUUGACUCUUCAAAGGUCUUGGAAUAAGGGGUGGGUAAGGACGGUGCCAGCCGCCGCGGUAAUACCGGCGCCUCAAGUGGUAGUCGCUUUUAUUGGGCCUAAAACGUCCGUAGCCGGUUUGGUACAUUCGUGGGUAAAUCAAGGCGCUCAACGUCUUGAAUUCUGCGAGCACGGCCAGACUUGGGACCGGGUGAGGUGUGGGGUACUCUCAGGGUAGGGGUAAAAUCCUGUCAUCCUGAGAGGACCACCUGUUGCGAAGGCGCCACACUAGAACGGAUCCGACGGUCAGGGACGAAGCCUAGGGGCACGAACCGGAUUAGAUACCCGGGUAGUCCUAGGUGUAAACGCUGUGGACUUGAUGUUGGGAGUGCUCCGAGCACCCUCAGUGUCGAAGCGAAGGUGAUAAGUCCACUGCCUGGGGAGUACGGUCGCAAGGCUGAAACUUAAAGGAAUUGGCGGGGGAGCACUGCAACCUGAGGAUUGUGCG